rnacentral:rRNA from 1 species
AUUAAUACCGCAUGAGACCUGAGGGUGAAAGCGGGGGAUCGCAAGACCUCGCGCUGUUGGAGCGGCCGAUAUCAGAUUAGGUAGUUGGUGGGGUAAAAGCCUACCAAGCCGACGAUCUGUAGCUGGUCUGAGAGGACGACCAGCCACACUGGGACUGAGACGCGGCCCAGACUCCUACGGGAGGCAGCAGUGGGGAAUUUUGGACAAUGGGCGCAAGCCUGAUCCAGCCAUGCCGCGUGCGGGAAGAAGGCCUUCGGGUUGUAAACCGCUUUUGUCAGGGAAGAAAUCCUUUGAGCUAAUACCUCGGGGGGAUGACGGUACCUGAAGAAUAAGCACCGGCUAACUACGUGCCAGCAGCCGCGGUAAUACGUAGGGUGCAAGCGUUAAUCGGAAUUACUGGGCGUAAAGCGUGCGCAGGCGGUUGUGCAAGACAGGUGUGAAAUCCCCGGGCUUAACCUGGGAACUGCACUUGUGACUGCACAGCUGGAGUACGGCAGAGGGGGAUGGAAUUCCGCGUGUAGCAGUGAAAUGCGUAGAUAUGCGGAGGAACACCGAUGGCGAAGGCAGUCCCCUGGGCCUGUACUGACGCUCAUGCACGAAAGCGUGGGGAGCAAACAGGAUUAGAUACCCUGGUAGUCCACGCCCU